UCCGUUGGUGAACCAGCGGAGGGAUCAUUACUGAGUUACCGCUCUAUAACCCUUUGUGAACAUACCUACAACUGUUGCUUCGGCGGGUAGGCCGUCCCCUGAAAAGGACGCCUCCCGGCCCGGACCGGACCCCCCGCGGGACCGGACCCGGCGCCCGCCGGAGGAUAACCAAACUCUAUUGUAACGACGUUUCUUCUGAGUGGCAUAAGCAAAAUAAUCAAAACUUUUAACAACGGAUCUCUUGGUUCUGGCAUCGAUGAAGAACGCAGCGAAAUGCGAUAAGUAAUGUGAAUUGCAGAAUUCAGUGAAUCAUCGAAUCUUUGAACGCACAUUGCGCCCGCCAGCAUUCUGGCGGGCAUGCCUGUUCGAGCGUCAUUUCAACCCUCAAGCUCUGCUUGGUGUUGGGGCUCUACGGUCGACGUAGGCCCUCAAAGGUAGUGGCGGACCCUCCCGGAGCCUCCUUUGCGUAGUAACAUUUCGUCUCGCACUGGGAUCCGGAGGGACUCUUGCCGUAAAACCCCCCAAUUUUCCAAAGGUUGACCUCGGAUCAGGUAGGAAUACCCGCUGAACUUA
rnacentral:rRNA from 1 species